CUGAGCAGAAACCACUAAUUCGUUAAUUUUUUUUAUGAGUAAACAAUUUGUAUAAAAACAAGGGAUGCAUAUAAAUAAAAGAGGCAUACCAGGGAGAUACAAUAACAACCUAAAAGAGCUAAUAUCUCAAAUCUGAAUUGAAGAGGACGGUUUACACAUGUCUAUACUGGUUUAGUUUUCUGUCCUGGGUUUUGUUUUUAACCUUUUGGUUGUUAACUCCAAGAACUAAGUAAUAUGCACGUUGGCCCCGAGUGUUAAUAGUGUAGUGGUUUUUACUUGUUAUUAAUGCAUUUAAGAACAGCUAAAGUUACUUAAUAUUGUGGUAGAUUUUUAUUUUCUAUUGUAAACCAAAUACUUUUUGUAGUUUAUCUAGCUCGACUUUUAUGAGAAGUAAUUUUCCUGCAAUUUCACACUGAGGCAAGAGACCUGAUUGAUUUUCUAGUUAGAUAAUAGUAAUAGGUUUGGUAAACAUCAUUAGUUUACUGGUUAUUCUGUUUUCAUGGUUAUAUGAUUGGUUAUGAUUAAUGCUGGAUUUAAAUCAUUAGGUAUUGGAUUUGUACGCAAUCUUGAAUUACUAGGGAAGCAUUUCCUAGAUAAACAACCCACAAUAACAUAAUUGACCUCUGGUGCACUUGGCAGAGUACGGUAUCUAAUAUUGGUCAAUCUGAGCAGGAAUCAGUCACUUGAGUUGUUUUUAUUUUUUGGGUUUUUUUGCAUGUCUCUUUUGGUAUUUUAGCUCAAAAGGUUUACUCCGUAUCAAUGUUUGUGCGUUUUGCUGUCUUGUCAUUUAGUAGCAGUUUUACUUAGGUACAUGCAACUAUGCAAGAACUCCUAAACCAAAUCAUGAAGUGGAAUUCUUUCUAAUUUACCUAUUCGCUUCUUUUACAAGUAUUAUUUUGCUAAAUUUGAUAUAUAGCUUGUAACUCCGAAUCGAUCCCUGAUGCUUCUGAGCCUCACGCUGAACCCAACUCAAUACUUAGUUUUGAUUGCUCUCCGGUUUUGUAUGCCCACGAUGUGAUCAAUAAAAAAUUAUCCCAAUCGGUGGUUUUUGACUUGGAGCUCAAAUUGACCAUCAUUUUCAUUCUGAACAUGGGGAAAACACAUGAGGAUGUUGCAAUUGAACAUCAUAGUCAUUGACUUCUUGAAGGUUUGGGAUAAGCCUACUAUUUUAAGGCUACUCACCAGGGACUUGAACUAGAUUUUGUUACUGUUGAAGGAUGGGUUGUGGAAGUGUCAAUUGGAUAUAUUGCCCUUAUCACCUUGUGCACAUUAAGUCCAUGAAAUCUUAGGUCUUUCUCUAUUAAUGGGGUGGAGUAUAAGUUCAUUAGUUAUCCGCUUAUUACAAAUGUUUCAUAUGAAAGGUUGAUGGUUGAGCAAACAUAGGGGCUAUAGAACUCCAGAAUUAAAGAAGAUUUUGUUGCCCCGUCGAGCAUGAUCAAAUUCAGAUGAUGUAUUACAGUUGAUGUGAGGCGUUGCAUUCUGUAGGAGGCACUGUGUGGUGUUUUUUUUACGGUUCUCUAUAAUUUGUAUUUUUGUUUGAAGGGGAUACCUUGUGUUUUGCUUAAUUAUCUAAACAGUAUGUUCUUAACACCUACUCCUUGCGUUUCUUGUAGGUAUAUUUCUUAUGGUUUACUCCUUUCGUCUCUUAGUGUUGGUCCCUUUUGGGCGUUCCCACUUUUUUGGAGACAUGCUCUGAUUAUCUCUUUGAAGAAUACCUUUAAUCAUUUUUUUAGGGUUAGUCUUUGAAAAUUCAGAUAUUUUUAGCUUGACUUUUUAAAGAGGACGAAUAUUUUGGGACAUCCCAAAAUGGAAUAGGCGACUGACACCAAGGGACGGGGGGAGUACAACUUUUAAAGAUGUUAAUCCAUGUCAAAAAUAGAAUUAUGAUAAAUGACUUGAAUCUGAAUUUGAUAAGUAUGUUUGACGAAUAAAAUCUUGAACCAAUCCUGAUUCCUUUUGUCUCUUUUUCGGUUUUACUUCAUUUUUGGCCUUACGACACUUUGGAUCCAAGCAUUGACUGGUUUAGGUUAGGUCCAAUCACAAGUGGUUGGCAUGUAUCUUUUCUGUUACAAAGUCUUGGUGUUUUGUAGCUUGACUUAAUUGAGUUCCACUGGCAAUUUUGGCUGAUAAUGUCAAUUUCCCCUAGGACACGAAAGGGAAAGGAUGGAUGCACAUUUCUGUGGUGAAGUUAUAAAAUGUGAAGGACAUAGGAAAGAAAUGGCAUAUGUAUGAGUAGUGAAGACACUUCGGUAUUUGGUAAUAUGGGCUCUGAAAUAAUUGGGUAAUGUGUACGUGGAUCAUUUGCUUGCUUUUAGUGGUGUCUUGGAUAGUUGCAAGUUACGUGUUUGGCUAAGAAGCACGGAUAUGCAUAUGGAUACGGGAUACAUACAUACUAUAAAAGAAA